rnacentral:miRNA from 1 species
GACGUCGAUAUUCGACGUCAUAAACACGAGCAACUUUGGUGUUUAUGACGUCGACGUCAUAAACACGAGCAACUUUGGUGUUUAUGACGUCGAUAUUCGACGUCAUAAACACGAUCAACUUUGGUGUUUAUGACGUCGAUAUUCGACGUCAUAAACAUGAGCAAUUUUGGUGUUUAUGACGUCGAUAUUCGACGUCAUAAACACGAGCAACUUUGGUGUUUAUGACGUCGAUAUUCGACGUCAUAAACAGGAGCAACUUUGGUGUUUAUGACGUCGAUAUUCGACGUC